UACAGAGGUCUCAAGCGUUGUUCGGAUUCAUUGGGCGUAAAGGGUGCGUAGGCGGCCCGUUAAGUCAGUGGUGAAAGCCUCCAGCUCAACUGGAGAACUGCCAUUGAUACUGACGGGCUUGAGUACAGACGAGGUUGGCGGAAUUGAUUGUGUAGCGGUGAAAUGCAUAGAUACAAUCAAGAACACCGAUUGCGUAGGCAGCUAACUAGGCUGUAACUGACGCUGAGGCACGAAAGCGUGGGGAGCGAACAGG
rnacentral:rRNA from 2 species